rnacentral:rRNA from 1 species
AUUGAACGCUGGCGGCAUGCCUUACACAUGCAAGUCGAACGGUAACAGGUCUUCGGAUGCUGACGAGUGGCGAACGGGUGAGUAAUACGUCGGAACGUGCCUAGUAGUGGGGGAUAACUACUCGAAAGAGUGGCUAAUACCGCAUGCGAUCUACGGAUGAAAGCAGGGGAUCGCAAGACCUUGUGCUACUAGAGCGGCCGAUGGCAGAUUAGGUAGUUGGUGGGAUAAAAGCUUACCAAGCCGACGAUCUGUAGCUGGUCUGAGAGGACGAUCAGCCACACUGGGACUGAGACACGGCCCAGACUCCUACGGGAGGCAGCAGUGGGGAAUUUUGGACAAUGGGCGAAAGCCUGAUCCAGCAAUGCCGCGUGCAGGAUGAAGGCCUUCGGGUUGUAAACUGCUUUUGUACGGAACGAAAAGCCCCGGGUUAAUACCCUGGGGUCAUGACGGUACCGUAAGAAUAAGCACCGGCUAACUACGUGCCAGCAGCCGCGGUAA